CUCUGAUGGUGAACAGACCACACGUGAGCCUGUGCUCAAAGCCAUGUUUUUGGCUGACACCCAUUUGCUUGGGGAAUUCCUAGGCCACUGGCUGGACAAAUUACGAAGGGAAUGGCAGAUGGAGAGAGCGUUCCAGACAGCUCUGUGGUUGCUGCAGCCGGAAGUCGUCUUCAUCCUGGGGGAUAUCUUUGAUGAAGGGAAGUGGAGCACCCCUGAGGUAGGACUCUGUGUUCCAGGUGCCCUCAUCCUGCUGUGAGGUCCAGCACAAGUAUCCCAGAGAAUCCACGAAUCAGUGUCAGCUUGAGCUGGAGAUUUUAUGGAAGUUGUACUUACUACUGAUAUUAAAAAUGCGUAGGCUAUUUGGAAGAUGAUUAGAAUUCAUAGGCUAUCUAAGAUUAUUAGAACAACUCAAUCUUGAGUUAGGUUGGCUAAUUGUAAACAUUUGUCUAUGUAGGAAAUAUGUCGAUUAGCCAGAUAUCAUUUAGUUGGAAUACACUGUUUUGUGAACCUCUUGGGAAAGGGAGAAACGGGCAAGAUAGAUGUUAUUUCAGUUGUCACCGAAAUUGCAAAAUACAUAUUGAAAUGUACAUUUAAUUUCACACUCUUAUUGAACCAUGACAUUAUGAGAAUCGUGCUG
rnacentral:lncRNA from 1 species